AGUCGAGCGAAGCUUUUCAGUAGUUUACUACAGAAAAUGACUGAGCGGCGAACGGGUGAGUAACGCGUGAGCAAUCUACCUUAGUUACAGGGAUAGCCCGAGGAAACUCGGAUUAAUACCUGAUAUUCUUUAUAUUUCGCAUGAAAUUAAAAGGAAAGGUCAGCCGAACUAAGAUGAGCUCGCGUUCUAUCAGCUAGUUGGUGAGGUAAAAGCUCACCAAGGCUACGACGGAUAGCUGGUCUGAGAGGACGAUCAGCCACACUGGGACUGAGACACGGCCCAGACUCCUACGGGAGGCUGCAGCAGGGAAUAUUGUGCAAUGAACGAAAGUUUGACACAGCGACACCGCGUGUGGGAUGACGGAUCUAGGUUUGUAAACCACUUUCAGGAGGGAAGAAAAUGACGGUACCUCCACAAGAAGCCCCGGCCAACUACGUGCCAGCAGCCGCGGUAAUACGUAGGAGGCGAGCGUUGUCCGGAUUUAUUGGGCGUAAAGAGCUCGUAGGCGGUUCAACAAGUCGUUCGUGAAAGUUCAGGGCUCAACCCUGAAAUGUCGAUCGAUACUGUUGUGACUAGGAUACGGUAGAGGUGAGUGGAAUUCCGAGUGUAGCGGUGAAAUGCGUAGAUAUUCGGAGGAACACCAAUUGCGAAGGCAGCUCACUGGGCCGCUAUCGACGCUGAGGAGCGAAAGCUAGGGGAGCAAACAGGAUUAGAUACCCUGGUAGUCCUAGCUGUAAAC
rnacentral:rRNA from 1 species